rnacentral:rRNA from 1 species
CCCUUAGAUGUUCUGGGCCGCACGCGCGCUACACUGACCAGUGCAACAAGCAUCCGUCCUUGGCCGACAGGCUCGGGCAAUCUUUGAACGCUGGUCGUGAUGGGGAUAGACUUUUGCAAUUUUUGGUCUUCAACGAGGAAUUCCUAGUAAACGCAAGUCAUCAACUUGCAUUGAUUACGUCCCUGCCCUUUGUACACACCGCCCGUCGCACCUACCGAUUGAAUGGUCCGGUGAAGCCUCCGGAUUGGCGCGCACCUCGGUGCCGCCGAGAAGUUGGCUAAACCUUACCAUUUAGAGGAAGGUGAANUCGUAACA